GACGAACGCUGGCGGCGUGCUUAACACAUGCAAGUCGAGCGGUAAGGCCCUUUCGGGGGUACGACGAGCGGCGAACGGGUAGGAGUAACACGUGGGUGGACCUGCCCUCAGCUCUGGGAGUAAGCCUGGGAAACCGGGUCUAAUACCGGAUAUGACUCCAUGACGCAUGUUGUGGGGUGGAAAGCCUUGUGCGGCUGAGGAUGGGCCCGCGGCCUAUCAGCUUGUUGGUGGGGUGAUGGCCUACCAAGGCGACGACGGGUAGCCGGCCUGAGAGGGCGACCGGCCACACUGGGACUGAGACACGGCCCAGACUCCUACGGGAGGCAGCAGUGGGGAAUCUUGCGCAAUGGGCGAAAGCCUGACGCAGCGACGCCGCGUGAGGGAUGACGGCCU
rnacentral:rRNA from 1 species